GAUUUCUUAUUUCAUGUAACCAAUAAAAAAAUUUCGGUCUACAAAGUGUAAUUAUUAUGACCGGUAAAACAGGACGGUCCGGCAUCACCUUAAGACACGCUGCUUGAGAAAAGAUGAAACACUAAAGAAGCAAGGAGAAAAUAUUGAGACCUCUGUAUAAUUUGUCACUAGUAACCUCUUUAUCCUCUAAUUUAAUGGAAAAGGUGAAUUAAUGUGAACUAUCUCUUUCAGAAUAUUUUAGAGAAAGAAAAGCUAGAUUCGGUGGAGAACAGUAGAGCGACAAAAUAUUUCAGAAUAAAGUUAAGAAUAUUAAAUGUGAUACUUGGUGUUAUAUAAAAAUAUGACUAUAUCAUUCUUAAUGUUUUUUUCAAUUUCAACAAAACCUUAAUUAAAAAGCAAAUAAAAAGUACUAUCUUUUGUAAAUACCAUUA